GGGGAAUUUUCCGCAAUGGGCGCAAGCCUGACGGAGCAACGCCGCGUGAGGGAUGAAGGCCUCUGGGCUGUAAACCUCUUUUCUCAAGGAAGAAGAUCUGACGGUACUUGAGGAAUAAGCCACGGCUAAUUCCGUGCCAGCAGCCGCGGUAAUACGGGAGUGGCAAGCGUUAUCCGGAAUUAUUGGGCGUAAAGCGUCCGCAGGCGGCCUUGAAAGUCUGUUGUUAAAGCGUGGAGCUUAACUCCAUUUCAGCAAUGGAAACUACAAGGCUAGAGUGUGGUAGGGGCAGAGGGAAUUCCCGGUGUAGCGGUGAAAUGCGUAGAUAUCGGGAAGAACACCAGUGGCGAAGGCGCUCUGCUGGGCCAUAACUGACGCUCAUGGACGAAAGCCAGAGGAGCGAAAGGGAUUAGAUACCCCUGUAGUC
rnacentral:rRNA from 1 species